rnacentral:lncRNA from 1 species
AUGGUUUAUUUUCUACAAUUCAAGAUUGUAUUGGUGCAUCCGUCGCAUGGCCCUAUCCAUUCAUCUCGGUAGUCCAUGAGGAUUGGGGAUGCAUGAUGACUCAAGAUUUUAUGCUUCUUGUUUCUUUAAUUGCUUUUAAUUUCUUUGUUAAAUCUUAGGACUUUAUGUUAGAUAAUGUUGUAACUUAUUUAUGGUUAGUGUUUUUGUUAUGA